UACGGAGGGUGCGAGCGUUGUCCGGAAUCACUGGGCGUAAAGGGCGCGUAGGCGGCGCGGCAAGUCUGUGGUGAAAGCCCGAGGCUCAACUUCGGGUCGGCCAUGGAUACUGCUGCGCUCGAGCACUGUAAAGGCAGGUGGAAUUCCGGGUGUAGCGGUGGAAUGCGUAGAGAUCCGGAAGAACACCCGUGGCGAAGGCGGCUCUCUGGGACGGUACUGACGCUGAGACGCGAAAGCGUGGGGAGCGAACAGG
rnacentral:rRNA from 1 species